rnacentral:ncRNA from 1 species
UGUCUCCUCCACCCUCCUCCUUUGGUGGAUUUGGCCCGAGAUCCUUGGAUCUCGGGCCCUUUUUU